AGGUUACCUUUUUACGACUUCGCCCCAGUCGCCAGGCCCAUCAUCGGCCCCUGCCUCCCUUGCGGGUUGGCCCGGGGACUUCCGAUGGACCCAACUCCCGUGGCGUGACGGGCGGUGUGUACAAGACCCGAGAACGUAUUCACGGCGACAUUGCUGAUUCGCCAUUACUACCGAUUCCGCCUUCAUGGGGGUGAGUUGCAACCCCCAAUCCGCACUACGACAGGGUUUUUGGGGUUUGCUCCACCUUGCGGCUUCGCUUCCCUUUGUCCCUGCCAUUGUAGCGCCUGUGUAGCCCAGGGCAUAAAGGGCAUACUGAUCUGACGUCAUCCCCUCCUUCCUCCGGCUUAUCGCCGGCAGUCCCCUGUGAGUACCCGGCUUUACCCGCUGGUAACACAGGGCAAGGGUUGCGCUCGUUGCGGGACUUAACCCAACAUCUCACGACACGAGCUGACGACGACCAUGCACCACCUGUGCGGCGCGGGUACCCAUAAGGGUACCCUAGUGACCUUUCGGCCACGACACACCGCAUGUCAAGCCCUGGUGAGGUUUUUCGGUUAGCAUCGAAUUAAACCAGACGCUCCACCGGUUGUGCGGGUCCCCGUCAAUUCCUUUGAGUUUCAACCUUGCGGUCGUACUCCCCAGGCGGGAUGCUUAACGCGUUAGCUUGCGACACGGACAGGUUUCCCUGCCCACAUCUAGCAUCCAUCGUUUACGGCCAGGACUACCCGGGUAUCUAAUCCGGUUCGCUCCCCUGGCUUUCGUCCCUCAGCGUCAGGACAGUUCCAGUCGGCCGCCUUCGCCACUGGUGUUCCUCCCGAUAUCUACGCAUUUCACCGCUACACCGGGAAUUCCGCCGACCUCUCCCUGCCUCAAGUCUAGCAGUUUGGAAGGCAAUUCUGGAGUUGAGCCCCAGGAUUUCACCUUCCACUUACCAGACCGCCUACGGACCCUUUACGCCCAGUAAAUUCGCGCAACGUUCGGGACCUACGUAUUACCGCGGCUGCUGGCACGUAGUUAGCCGUCCCUUCCUCUGUGGGUACCGUCAUUAUCUUCCCCACUGACAGGUGUUUACACCCCGAAGGGCUUCUUCCACCACGCGGCGUUGCUGGGUCAGCCUUUCGGCCAUUGCCCAAUAUUCCCCACUGCUGCCCCCCGUAGGGGUGCGGGCCGUGUCUCAGUCCCACUGUGGCUGGCCAUCCUCUCAGACCAGCUACCCGUCGUAGCCUUGGUGAGCUUUUACCUCACCAACUAGCUGAUGGGACGCAGCCCCAUCCUAAGGCGCCUUGCGGCCUUUGGAGGCUCAUCAUUCAAUAAGCCUCUUUAUUGGGUAUUAGCCCCCCUUUCGGGGGGUUAUCCCCAUCCUUAGGGUAGGUUAGCUACGCGUUACUCACCCGUUCGCCGGUCGCCAGCACCUUCCCAAAAAGGAAGGCCUGCUGCCCCACGACUUGCAUGUGUUAGGCACGCCGCCAACGUUCGCGCUGAGCC
rnacentral:rRNA from 1 species